GAUGAACGCUGGCGGCGUGCUUAACACAUGCAAGUCGAACGGAAAGGCCCCAGCUUGCUGGGGUGCUCGAGUGGCGAACGGGUGAGUAACACGUAAGUGAUCUGCCCUGCACUGGGGGAUAAGCUUGGGAAACUGGGUCUAAUACCCUAUAGGACCGCAUCGUGGUUGGUGUGGUGGAAAGGUUUUUCUGGUGUGGGAUGAGCUUGCGGCCUAUCAGCUUGUUGGUGGGGUAAUGGCCUACCAAGGCGGCGACGGGUAGCCGGCCUGAGAGGGUGUGCGGCCACAUUGGGACUGAGAUACGGCCCAGACUCCUACGGGAGGCAGCAGUGGGGAAUUUUGCACAAUGGGCGGAAGCCUGAUGCAGCGACGCCGUGUGGGGGAUGAAGGCCUUCGGGUUGUAAACUCCUUUCGUCAGGGACGAAGUU
rnacentral:rRNA from 1 species